UACAGAGGGGGCAAGCGUUAUUCGGAUUUACUGGGCGUAAAGGAUGCGUAGGCGGACAUUUAAGUCAGAUGUGAAAUACCCGAGCUUAACUUGGGUGCUGCAUUUGAAACUGGGUGUCUAGAGUGCAGGAGAGGUAAGUGGAAUUCCUAGUGUAGCGGUGAAAUGCGUAGAUAUCAGGAGGAACACCGGUGGCGAAGGCGGCCCUCUGGACGGAUACUGACGUUGAGACGCGACAGCGUGGGGAGCAAACAGG
rnacentral:rRNA from 1 species